AUUGAACGCUAGCGGGAUGCCUUACACAUGCAAGUCGAACGGAGUGGCGGACGGGUGCGUAUUGUAUCGGAACGUGCCCAGUAGCGGGGGAUGACUACGCGAACGCGUAGCUAAUACCGCAUACUCUUCGAGCGGCCGAUUUCGGAUUAGCUAGUUGGUGGGGUAACGGCUCACCAAGGCGACGAUCCGUAGCUGGUUUGAGAGGACGACCAGCCACACUGGGACUGAGACACGGCCCAGACUCCUACGUGAGGCAGCAGUGGGGAAUCUUGGACAAUGGGGGAAAUCCUGAUCCAGCCAUCCCGCGUGUGUGAGGAAGGCCUUGGGGUGGUAAAGCACUUUUGGCAGGGAAGCGGUACCUGCAGAAUAAGCACCGGCUAACUACGUGCCAGCAGCCGCGGUAAUAC
rnacentral:rRNA from 1 species